UCGGCUACAGAACGACGCUGGCGGCAUGCCUAACACAUGCAAGUCGAACGAGACCUUCGGGUCUAGUGGCGCACGGGUGCGUAACGCGUGGGAAUCUGCCCUUUGCUUCGGAAUAACAGUUAGAAAUGACUGCUAAUACCGGAUGAUGUCUUCGGACCAAAGAUUUAUCGGCAAAGGAUGAGCCCGCGUAGGAUUAGGUAGUUGGUGGGGUAAUGGCCUACCAAGCCUACGAUCCAUAGCUGGUUUGAGAGGAUGAUCAGCAACACUGGGACUGAGACACGGCCCAGACUCCUACGGGAGGCAGCAGUGGGGAAUCUUAGACAAUGGGCGCAAGCCUGAUCUAGCCAUGCCGCGUGAGCGAUGAAGGCCUUAGGGUUGUAAAGCUCUUUCAGAUGGGAAGAUAAUGACGGUACCAUCAGAAGAAGCCCCGGCUAACUCCGUG
rnacentral:rRNA from 1 species